rfam:Schistosoma margrebowiei strain Zambia genome assembly, scaffold: SMRZ_contig0001469
AUCCGGCUGACGAGUCCCGAAUAGGACGAAACGCGCGUCCUGGAU